rnacentral:rRNA from 1 species
UAGUGGCGGACGGGUGAGUAACGCGUGGGUAACCUGCCUUACACAGGGGGAUAACACUUAGAAAUAGGUGCUAAUACCGCAUAAGCGCACGGCUCCGCAUGGGGCAGUGUGAAAAACUCCGGUGGUAUACGAUGGAUCCGCGUCUGAUUAGCUAGUUGGCGGGGUAACGGCCCACCAAGGCAGCGAUCAGUAGCCGGCCUGAGAGGGUGGACGGCCACAUUGGGACUGAGACACGGCCCAAACUCCUACGGGAGGCAGCAG